CAGCAGCCGCGGUAAUACGUAGGGGGCGAGCGUUGUCCGGAAUUAUUGGGCGUAAAGCGCGCGCAGGCGGUCCCUUAAGUCUGAUGUGAAAGCCCACGGCUCAACCGUGGAGGGUCAUUGGAAACUGGGGGACUUGAGUGCAGAAGAGGAGAGCGGAAUUCCACGUGUAGCGGUGAAAUGCGUAGAGAUGUGGAGGAACACCAGUGGCGAAGGCGGCUCUCUGGUCUGUAACUGACGCUGAGGCGCGAAAGCGUGGGGAGCAAACAGGAUUAGAUCCCCUGGUAGUCCACGCCGUAAACGAUGAGUGCUAAGUGUUAGAGGGGUUAAACCCUUUAGUGCUGUAGCUAACGCGUUAAGCACUCCGCCUGGGGAGUACGGCCGCAAGGCUGAAACUUAAAGGAAUUGGCGGG
rnacentral:rRNA from 1 species